rnacentral:rRNA from 1 species
CCAGGCUGAAAAUUCCGGUGCUCGAGGAUGGGUCUGCGGCCUAUCAGGCUGUAGUGGGUGUAACGGACCCACUAACCUUCGACGGGUACGGGCCUUGAGAGAGGUUGCCCGGAGAUGGAUUCUGAGACACGAAUCCAGGUCCUACGGGNNNCAGCAGGCNNNNAAACUUCGCAAUGUGGGAAACCACGACGAGGGANNNCCAAGUGCCAACGAUUUUUCGUUGGCUGUUGCCCUGCCUAAAAAGCAGGGAGAGUAAGGGCUGGGUAAGACGGGUGCCAGCCGCCGCGGUAAUACCCGCGGCCCGAGUGGUGCUCGUUAUUAUUGGGUUUAAAACGUCCGUAGCCGGUCCAGUAAAUUCUUGGGUAAAUCGACCGGCCCAACCGGUCGAAUUCCGGGGAGACUGCUGGACUUGGGACCGGGGGAGGUCGGAGGUACUUCCAGGGUAGGGGUGAAAUCCUGU